rnacentral:rRNA from 1 species
GACGAACGCUGGCGGCGUGCUUAACACAUGCAAGUCGAACGGAAAGGCCCUGCUUUUGUGGGGUGCUCGAGUGGCGAACGGGUGAGUAACACGUGAGUAACCUGCCCUUGACUUUGGGAUAACUUCAGGAAACUGGGGCUAAUACCGGAUAGGAGCUCCUGCUGCAUGGUGGGGGUUGGAAAGUUUCGGCGGUUGGGGAUGGACUCGCGGCUUAUCAGCUUGUUGGUGGGGUAGUGGCUUACCAAGGCUUUGACGGGUAGCCGGCCUGAGAGGGUGACCGGCCACAUUGGGACUGUGAUACGGCCCAGACUCCUACGGGAGGCAGCAGUGGGGAAUAUUGCACAAUGGGCGGAAGCCUGAUGCAGCAACGCCGCGUGCGGGAUGACGGCCUUCGGGUUGUAAACCGCUUUCGCCUGUGACAAAGCGUGAGUGACGGUAAUGGGUAAAGAAGCACCGGCUAACUACGUG